UACGAAGGGGGCUGGCGUUGUUCGGAAUUACUGGGCGUAAAGGGCGCGUAGGCGGUACUUCAAGUCAGGCGUGAAAGCCCCGGGCUCAACCUGGGAACCGCGCUUGAGACUGGAGAACUAGAGUUCGGGAGAGGAUGGUGGAAUUCCCAGUGUAGAGGUGAAAUUCGUAGAUAUUGGGAAGAACACCGAUGGCGAAGGCAGCCAUCUGGACCGACACUGACGCUGAGGCGCGAAAGCGUGGGGAGCAAACAGG
rnacentral:rRNA from 1 species